rnacentral:rRNA from 2 species
CAGUCGACGAGUUCUGAUUAUUGAAAGGUGCUUGCAUCUUGAUUUAAUUUUGAACGAGUGGCGGACGGGUGAGUAACACGUGGGUAACCUGCCCUUAAGUGGGGGAUAACAUUUGGAAACAGAUGCUAAUACCGCAUAAAUCCAAGAACCGCAUGGUUCUUGGCUGAAAGAUGGCGUAAGCUAUCGCUUUUGGAUGGACCCGCGGCGUAUUAGCUAGUUGGUGAGGUAACGGCUCACCAAGGCAAUGAUACGUAGCCGAACUGAGAGGUUGAUCGGCCACAUUGGGACUGAGACACGGCCCAAACUCCUACGGGAGGCAGCAGUAGGGAAUCUUCCACAAUGGACGCAAGUCUGAUGGAGCAACGCCGCGUGAGUGAAGAAGGCUUUCGGGUCGUAAAACUCUGUUGUUGGAGAAGAAUGGUCGGCAGAGUAACUGUUGUCGGCGUGACGGUAUCCAACCAGAAAGCCACGGCUAACUACGUGCCAGCAGCCGCGGUAAUACGUAGGUGGCAAGCGUUAUCCGGAUUUAUUGGGCGUAAAGCGAGCGCAGGCGGUUUUUUAAGUCUGAUGUGAAAGCCCUCGGCUUAACCGAGGAAGUGCAUCGGAAACUGGGAAACUUGAGUGCAGAAGAGGACAGUGGAACUCCAUGUGUAGCGGUGAAAUGCGUAGAUAUAUGGAAGAACACCAGUGGCGAAGGCGGCUGUCUGGUCUGUAACUGACGCUGAGGCUCGAAAGCAUGGGUAGCGAACAGGAUUAGAUACCCUGGUAGUCCUUGCCGUAAACGAUGAAUGCUAGGUGUUG